rnacentral:pre_miRNA from 1 species
AAUAAACCAAUUUUUCACUUUUUACCUACAAUUUUUGACUUUUCGUCUUAUUAAAAAAAAUUUCGAUUGAUAUUUUUUAUUAGAUGAUAAAUCAUAAAUAGUACUUUACGUGUGACUAAUUUUUUUCUAAUUUCCUAAAAAAAAUUUAAAUAAGACGGAUGAUCAAACGUUGGACACGAAAACCAAAGAAUUAGCUUUUU